GACGAACGCUGGCGGCGUGCUUAACACAUGCAAGUCGAACGCUGAAGACCUGGCUUUUGUUGGGUUGGAUGAGUGGCGAACGGGUGAGUAACACGUGAGUAACCUGCCCUCUUCUUUGGGAUAACGCCCGGAAACGGGUGCUAAUACUGGAUAUUCACUGAUCUUCGCAUGGGGGUUGGUGGAAAGGUUUGUUCUGGUGGGGGAUGGGCUCACGGGCUAUCAGGUUGUUGGUGGGUUGAUGGCCUACCAAGGCUUUGACGGGUAGCCGGCCUGGAAGGGUGACCGUGCACAUGAGGACUGGGACACGGCCCAGAGGGCUGCGGGAGUGAGCAGUGUGGAAUAUUGGGCAAUGGGCGAAAGCCUGAUGCAGCGACGGCGGGUGAGGGAUGGAGGGCUUCGGGUUGUAAAUGUCUUUCGCUAAUGGUCACGCCGCAACUGUGCGUUGUGGUGAGGGUAGUGGGUAAAGAAGCGCCGGCUAACUACGUG
rnacentral:rRNA from 1 species